rnacentral:rRNA from 1 species
AACGAGCGAGACCCACGUCCACAGUUGCCAGCAUACCCUCCGGGGUGGAUGGGUACACUGUGGAGACCGCCGCCUGCUAAAACGGAGGAAGGGAGUGGGCAACGGUAGGUCAGUAUGCCCCGAAUCUCCCGGGCUACACGCGGGCUACAAUGGUUGGUACAAUGGGCAUCUACCCCGAAAGGGGAAGGAAAUCUCUUAAAGCCAAUCGUAGUUCGGAUUGAGGGCUGCAACUCGCCCUCAUGAAGCUGGAAUCCGUAGUAAUCGCGUUUCAACAGAACGCGGUGAAUACGUCCCUGCUCCUU